UACGUAGGGCGCAAGCGUUGUCCGGAAUUAUUGGGCGUAAAGAGCUCGUAGGUGGUUUGUUGCGUCUGCCGUGAAAACCCGAGGCUUAACCUCGUGGCUUGCGGUGGAUACGGGCAGACUUGAGGUAGGUAGGGGAGAAUGGAAUUCCCGGUGUAGCGGUGAAAUGCGCAGAUAUCGGGAGGAACACCGGUGGCGAAGGCGGUUCUCUGGGCCUUACCUGACGCUGAGGAGCGAAAGCGUGGGUAGCGAACAGG
rnacentral:rRNA from 1 species